rnacentral:rRNA from 1 species
CUAGUACUGCGAGUGAGCGGGAAAAGCUCAGAUUUGAAAUCUGGCAGUCUUUUUUUUCUUCUUUGGCUGUUUGAGUAGAAAUCUAGAGAAGUGCUUACCUGCGCUGGACCAUGUAUAAGUCUCCUGGAAUGGAGCGUCACAGAGGGUGAGAAUCCCGUCUUUGACAUGGACUGCCGGUGUGUUGUGGUGCGCUCUCAAAGAGUCGAGUUGUUUGGGAAUGCAGCUCUAAAUGGGUGGUAAACUCCAUCUAAAGCUAAAUAUUGGCGAGAGACCGAUAGCGAACAAGUACCGUGAGGGAAAGAUGAAAAGGACUUUGGAAAGAGAGUUAAACAGUAUGUGAAAUUGUUGAAAGGGAAACGCUUGAAGUCAGUUAUGUUGGCUAGGGAUCAGCCUGGCUAUUUUUUGCUGGGUGAAUUUCCUAGUCUGACAGGCCAACAUCAGUUCUGACUGCCAAAAAAGAGCAAAGGGAAUGUGGCACCUUUGGGUGUGUUAUAGCCUUUUGUCAUAUGUGGCAGUUGGGACUGAGGGAUGCAGCAUGCCGUGAGGCUGGGUUUCGACCACGUUCAUGCUUAGGAUGUUG